UGAGUAAUGCAUAGAAUCUGCCCGAUAGAGUGGGGAUAACCUGGGGAAACCCAGGCUAAUACCGCAUACGUCCUACGGGAGAAAGGGGGCUUCGGCUCCCGCUAUCGGAUGAGCCUAUGUCGGAUUAGCUAGUUGGUGAGGUAAUGGCUCACCAAGGCGACGAUCCGUAGCUGGUCUGAGAGGAUGAUCAGCCACAUCGGGACUGAGACACGGCCCGAACUCCUACGGGAGGCAGCAGUGGGGAAUAUUGGACAAUGGGCGCAAGCCUGAUCCAGCCAUGCCGCGUGUGUGAAGAAGGCCCUCGGGUUGUAAAGCACUUUCAGUGAGGAAGAACGCCUAUCGGUUAAUACCCGGUAGGGAAGACAUCACUCACAGAAGAAGCACCGGCUAACUCCGUGCCAGCAGCCGCGGUAAUACGGAGGGUGCGAGCGUUAAUCGGAAUUACUGGGCGUAAAGCGCGCGUAGGUGGCUAAAUAAGCCGGUUGUGAAAGCCCCGGGCUCAACCUGGGAACGGCAUCCGGAACUGUUUGGCUAGAGUGCAGGAGAGGAAGGUAGAAUUCCCGGUGUAGCGGUGAAAUGCGUAGAGAUCGGGAGGAAUACCAGUGGCGAAGGCGGCCUUCUGGACUGACACUGACACUAGGUGCGAAAGCGUGGGGUAGCCAAAACAGGAAUUAGAUACCCCUGGUAGUCCACCGCCCGUAA
rnacentral:rRNA from 1 species